GUAUGGAGCAAGCGUUAUCCGGAUUUACUGGGUGUAAAGGGAGCGCAGGCGGCUUUGCAAGUCUGAUGUGAAAGGCCGGGGCUCAACCCCGGGACUGCAUUGGAAACUGUAAAGCUAGAGUGCCGGAGAGGUAAGCGGAAUUCCUAGUGUAGCGGUGAAAUGCGUAGAUAUUAGGAGGAACACCAGUGGCGCAGGCGGCUUACUGGACGGCAACUGACGCUGAGGCUCGAAAGCGUGGGGAGCAAA
rnacentral:rRNA from 1 species